CAAGAACUCGAUAUCAAUAGUAUGCUUGAAAUACAGAGACGCUCGUUAAAUACAAUUGAAGUGGAUUAAUUAUCAAACUGUGCAUUCAGGUGAUCGGGAAGAUUUGAUAAGAAAAAUUCAAGGUGAUAUUGUAUGUGACGCGCCAAGACAAUUAAAGCAAGAUGAUUUACUUAACACUUCGGUCACUUUUAGCAAUUUCUGUGAUACUGUUAUCACAUGAUUUAACCAAGAACUCAGUGUCAGCAAUUCCAGCUUUGAUGUUAUGCAAUGGAAAAUGUUUUAAUGGGGGAACAAUUCUUAUGCCUACUUCAAUAUUUGGAUACUGCCACUGUCUAUGCAGGAAAGGUUUUGCAGGCCCUAGAUGUGAAAUUGCUACAAAGAAAUUUAAAUUGAGAAAACUGAGUAACUUAAAACUUUUGUUGAAAAGGUUAAGAUCGAGCUGACCACAACAAUAUUUUUAAUAGGUUAUUGAAAUGUUCCCGGUAUUUAUUUUUCCAAUGAACGUGGGUGAAGACGGACGCCUAGAACGCUUUGACCCCCAGGAGUUGUGUUCUAUCAGUAGACGUUGUUGACUAUUUAUUUAUUGAAUUACGAACUCCUAUUUUUACACCUUUACCAGAAAGUGUGGGGAUGUCUUCUAUGCCAACACGCGCCAAGUCUUUCCAAUCGAGCACAUUGGAUGGGAGCUGGAAACGCCAUGGAAAGGCAGCAGGCAACUCGAGGUUUCAGCGAGACUACUCGGGUUCCUUCGAUCCAUGAAGUGUGAAUGCGAUUUGCCGAAGCAAGUUUCCAUCUUUUAAAAUUUCGGUAGAAAUCCAGUGAGAGAUGGCACGUAGUCUAGUGGACUUUGGUUUCAGUUUGGCAUUGUUUUGAACAAUGCAGUAUUAUUUGGAUUGAUCUCAAUUUAUAACUCAAAUGUCAUUGUCUCAAUUUAACUUCAUUUUGAUGAGAUCAUUCCAUUUUUAAUUUAUUUAUUACGUCCCUCGUCGGUUCGAUACAUAACUAUCGACACAAGUCUUGUUUGCACCCAAAUUAUGCCUGGAUUUUCACCCAACCAGAGAACAACCAUGUACAUUAAAUCAAAGAAAUAUUUUAGAUAAUAUUCCUCAAUGUUUUUUUUAACAUUGUUGAUUUCAUUUACGUAUGAUUAAUCCUUUCAAGUUAUAUAACAUUGAGGGCACCGUAACCCUUAAACCGAAAGUUAUCAAACAAAUCUUUAUGCAUUAUCAGCACUAUACAAUUGAAAUAUUAUACACAGAAAUACAAAACAGCAACCUUGCAUUCCAAGAGCCGACUGGGGACUACAUUUUUCAAAUAUCACUUUGAAAUAUCAUUUGUACAUUGUGAAUGUGAUAUGAGAUUUGUUAUUUAUAUUCUUAUUCCUUAAUUUAUUACUAUUAUUUAUGCAUUUUUAAAUUAAAAGUUAUUGAAAAUUGUUGUCUAUUGCAAAAAGAAAAAAAUUACAUAAACAAUAAAAAAGAUGAUAUUUA